UUGAAACGUUUACGAUUAUUAGGUGUAGGCGUUUUAUUAUUUAGUUUCAAAAUUUAGUUUUGUUUCAUACUCAAUCAAUCACUUUGGUUAAUUUCGUUUCGUAUUUGCUCUGUGAUUUGCUAACAAUUUGUGUUUCCUCUAUAUAUGCUGCCUCGGUUUGCAACAGGAUCUUCUUUUAUCCCGGAUUGCAUAUACAUUAGCAAGAGACGCCGACUUGCAACAGUUAUUAGAUAUAUAUAGGUUACUAUUCCAUCUGAUGGACUCAGCAACGGGUUACGCUCGAUCCUCCGUUAAAGACGUUCAGUAUUACAAGACUUGGAGGACAACACCGGAACAAGCAUGACUCCGUUGUGCAUCUUAAACAUCUCCCCAGCGGAAUCGUAGCUCAGGCCGUCGAGGAUCGUUCGCAGCAUAAGACUCGUGCUUCUGCUCUGAAUUAAUUGGAGUUUUCUUUUUCUUGCUAAUUAAGUAUAGGGAGUCAUUCAAGAAGAGAGCAAAAAAAAUUACGUUAUGCUCGAUGGAAUAAUGCAGAGCCUAAUAGAAGAUAGGGUUACCUCUAUGAAUGGCAUACAUGACUAUACAAUGUGAAAAUUUCCAGUUCCAUGUGUCCUGACACAAGAAGCUGUUUUACCUAUAUUAAGUUUUCAUGUUAUUCGUUA